rnacentral:rRNA from 1 species
AGCAGUAGGGAAUCUUCCACAAUGGGCGCAAGCCUGAUGGAGCAACACCGCCUUGGUAAGGUAACGGCUUACCAAGGCGAUGAUGCAUAGCCGAGUUGAGAGACUGAUCGGCCACAAUGGAACUGAGACACGGUCCAUACUCCUACGGGAGGCAGCAGUAGGGAAUCUUCCACAAUGGGCGCAAGCCUGAUGGAGCAACGCCGCGUGAGUGAAGAAGGUCUUCGGAUCGUAAAACUCUGUUGUUAGAGAAGAACAUGCAGGAGAGUAACUGUUCUUGUAUUGACGGUAUCUAACCAGAAAGCCACGGCUAACUACGUGCCAGCAGCCGCGGUAAUACGUAGGUGGCAAGCGUUAUCCGGAAUUAUUGGGCGUAAAGCGCGCGUAGGCGGUUUCUUAAGUCUGAUGUGAAAGCCCACGGCUCAACCGUGGAGGGUCAUUGGAAACUGGGAAACUUGAGUGCAGAAGAGGAAAGUGGAAUUCCAUGUGUAGCGGUGAAAUGCGCAGAGAUAUGGAGGAACACCAGUGGCGAAGGCGACUUUCUGGUCUGUAACUGACGCUGAUGUGCGAAAGCGUGGGGAUCAAACAGGAUUAGAUACCCUGGUAGUCCACGCCGUAAACGAUGAGUGCUAAGUGUUGGAGGGUUCCGCCCUUCAGUGCUGCAGUUAACGCAUUAAGCACUCCGCCUGGGGAGUACGACCGCAAGUUGAAACUCAAAGGAAUUGACGGGGACCCGCACAAGCGGUGGAGCAUGUGGUUUAAUUCGGCGCACGUACUCCCCAGCGGAUUACUUAACGCGUAAAGAACUUGCCCUGCAGUUCGGGACAACAUUCGGAAACGGAUGCUAAUACCGGGAUAUUAUGCUCUGGUCGCAUGGCCAGUGCAUGAAAGCUAUAUGCGCUGCAGGAGAGCUUUGCGUCCUAUUAGCUUGUUGGUGAGGUAACGGCUCACCAAGGCUGUGAUAGGUAGCCGGCCUGAGAGGGUGAACGGCCACAAGGGGACUGAGACACGGCCCUUACUCCUACGGGAGGCAGCAGUGGGGAAUAUUGGACAAUGGACCAAAAGU